GACGAACGCUGGCGGCGUGCUUAACACAUGCAAGUCGAACGGAAAGGCCCAGCCUUUGUGGGGUGCUCGAGUGGCGAACGGGUGAGUAACACGUGAGUAACCUGCCCUUGACUUCGGGAUAACCUUAGGAAACUGGGGCUAAUACCGGAUAGGAGCUCUUGCUGGAUGGUGGGGGUUGGAAUGUUUCGGCGGUUGGGGAUGGUCUCGCGGCUUCUCCGCUUGUUGGUGGGGUAGUGGCUCACCAGGGUCUUGACGGGUCGCCGGCCUGAGAGGGUGACCGGCCACAUGGGGCCGGGGAAAGGGCCCGAACUCCUACGGGGGGAGGCGGGGGGGAUUAUGGCACAAGGGGGGGAGGCCGAAGGCGGGAAGGCGGGGGGCGGGAUAACGGCCUUCGGUUUUUAAACCGCUUUGGCCGGGGACAAGGGGUUAGUGACGGUAAUGGGUAAAGAAGCACCGGCUAACUACGUG
rnacentral:rRNA from 1 species